CCCUUAGAUGUUCUGGGCCGCACGCGCGCUACACUGAUGCAUUCAACGAGUCUAAAACCUGCUCUGAUAGGGGUGGGUAAUCUUUUGAAUGUGCAUCGUGAUUGGGAUAGAUGAUUGCAAUUUUUCAUCUUCAACGAGGAAUGCCUAGUAAACGCAAGUCAUCAGCUUGCAUUGAUUACGUCCCUGCCCUUUGUACACACCGCCCGUCGCUCCUACCGAUUGAAUGAUCCGAUGAAUACCAUGGACUGAGAGUAUGAAUGGGUUCGCCUAUUUCUGCUUCUCGGGAAGUGGAGUAAAUCUUAACAUUUAGAGGAAGGAGAAGUCGUAACA
rnacentral:rRNA from 1 species